AGCUGGGGAUUUAGCUCAGUGGUUUCGCCGCCUGCUGCGCAAGCGCAAGGACCCGAGUUCGAUCCCUGGUACCAAAAAAAAAAGGAAAAAGAAAAGGGAUCAAGAGAUAGAGGGAGGGGAAGGGAGCAAAAAAAGAGUUAAGAUGGGUUAUGUCCAUGGGCUGACUCCCCAGGAUGAAUGCGGUUGUUUCGUACUGCAAACAUGGGCUAAAUACUUCUUUUUUUUGGUACUGGGGAUCGAACUCGGUACCUUGCGCCUGCAAGGCAAGCAGCAGAACCACUCAGCUAAAUCCCCGGCCCCAACAUGGGCUAAAUAAAGUACAAUAAAUUUAAAAAUCUUCUUCCCCCUUUUUUUUGCAUUAGUUGAGAUUGAACUGAGGGCUGCUCAAACACUGAGCUACGACUCCAGCCCUAUUCAUUUUUUAUUUUUUAGGUACCGGGGAUUGAACUCAGGACCUUGCGCUUGCGAGGCAGGCGGUGAAACCACUGAGCUAAAUCCCCAGCCCAGGCUGGACUGGAACUCAUGAUCCUCCUGCCUCAGCUUCCUGAGUGAGACGACAGGUUGUGACGGACCAGCAGUCACCAGUCGAACAGUUCCUGAAUGGGGGAAAGGACGACUGAGAAAAAUCAAGAGAAGAGACAGAGUCGGGAGGGCUCCCAAGACCGAGCAAGCAAGUUUAUUUACACCUCUCUUUUAUACCCUCAGUGAGUUAGGUCAUUAAUCAUGACCUUUAUACAAAAAAACACCUGCUUCCUUGUUUGCUAGUUUUCUAGACACUCCUCGCCCUCAUGGGCUACUUUGUUUCCUGGGGUUACAGAAGGUUCAUCUUGUUGCUAGGGCAAUCUCUAAAGGGAAACAUCGGAGUUAGCGGAGACAUGGUUCCCCAUUACAUAGUCUCCUGGCUAUUUAUAACAGAGGGUAAAAUUAAAAUGAAGCUUUUUGGCUGACACCGAUCCCCACACUAGGUCUCACUAUGUAGUUCAGGCUGGCCUUGAACUUGCACCAAUCCUCCUGCCUCAGCCUCCCAAAUGCUGGAAUUACAGGCGUGCACCACCACGCCCGACUUAUUUUUUAUUUUGAGCCAGAGUCUUGCUAAAUUGCUAAAUAGCCCAGGUUGGACUCCCAACUUGUGAUCCUCCGGCCUCAGCCUCCCAGAGUCCUGGGGUCACGGGUAUGCACCACCUUAUCCGGCAGCUUUACUUACUUUUACAGAGACCCCCAGAGCUGGGAUUGCUGUGUUUGAAAGCCACACAAUUAAAAAUGUUAAAUAACAUUUAAAAGCUCAGAUUGCUCUAUUACACACGAUACCUUGAAUCUCAAUCGUUUUUUUUUUUUUUUUGGUACCAGGGAUCGAACUUGGGUCCUUGCUCUUGCGCAGCAGGCAGCGGAACCACUGAGCUAAAUCCUUGGCCCUUGAAUCUCAAUCUAAUACAUUUUUUAGCCUUUUUGCGUCCAUGGAAUCCUUUUAGUCCACAACCGGCAGUCUCGGUUGGAUUUCUGGUGUGCACCCUCCAGCCAGGCACUCUCUGGGCCCCAAGUUACCAGUCCCCACCUUAUUAUUCUUCCAUGCUGGGGACAGAACGCAGGCCCUUGAGAGUGCUAGGCCAGCACUCUCCUCCGAGUACUGGUCAUCUGCUUCUCACGAGUUGUGGCAGGAGAAGCGAGUCCCCUGAGUGCAAUGCACAGGCCGGUGCUGUAACUGCAGAGAUGAGACCUCAGAAGGUAGCUUAGUAUGGCCCAACAGUGAAAUCUAUCAUUUUAUGUAUGCUUGCAUAACACAGGUUGGUAAAGCAAUGCUUGGUAGAUACAAGGUGCUUAAUCAGUACUUGGUAAGAAGAUCAGCUUGCCCAAGUAGCCUCCCAGUGGGGCAAUUUACAAACACCCCCCCCCCAACAGCAUCAUGGAGUUCGCCCUGGGUAUCUUUCUCACAUCUGAAUCUGAGCAGGCCUCCCCUCACUCUAAGCCCUUGUACAGCUCCCUAUUGCUCUCAAGAUAAUGUCCAGAUUUGCCAAAUACCACUUAGAUUACAACCUCAUGAAUUCUGGAAUUGAUGAGGUGGGGUUCUUUUUGUUUUUUGUUCACUUUCCUCCUAGACUUUGGCCUCAGGAGGGCCAGGAUGGGAUCUGGCACACAGUAGAUGCUUAAUAACAAAAGAACCUCUGUCAUUAGCCCUCAUGGACCUCAGCAUCAUAUUCUCCACCAAGCCUUCCUAGCCCAUCUGCUGUCCAUCCCCAGACAUGGAGGACCCCUGAGCCUUUCCCCACGAUGGACCCUUCCACCCAGAAAACCCUUCCAGGCAGCGGCAAUUCAUCUUCCCAUCCCUCUUCCCAGCUCAGCCCUGGGGCAGGGGGUGCAUCCCAUCUGUGAGCCUCCGAGUCACCAACUGUCAUAGAUGAGCUUUUGAGAUGAGACUAUGGCAUUUUAGCAAAACUGCUGGCAAGGUGGGAAGUAGCAUAGGAAAUCAAGUGAUUUCCCUUCCAGCCUGCUGUCCCCAGAGCCCAGUGCCCCCACCCUGGGCCUCAGGACUUGUACACAAGGACUUUGAUGCCCACCGGGGCAGGCACUAUUUGCUUCAGCACAAGCUGUGUCUGUCUUCCCUGUUCCCCUAUCAAACUUCCCAAGGCAGCCAGGAGCAUGGUGGCCUGCAGCUGUCAUCCCAGCACUUGGGAGGCUGAGGCAGGAGGAUCACCAUGAGUUCCAGGCCAGCCUGAACUACAUAGUGAGACCCUGUCUCAAAAAACAAAACAAAUCAAACAAAAAAAUGUCUACGAUGGUAAAUCAGACGUUAUGUGAAAUUUACAUCUAUUUUUUAAAACGGUAAAAAAAAAAAAAAGGUAUAUGAUUCUUUGUGUAGUCUCUCCCCAUGAGUGACUGCAGCUGUCUUGUCACUGCUUGCUGUGGCCCGAUGACCAGCACUGUGUCUAAUACGCGUUUGUUGAAGGGAUAAACAAAUGUGUGUAUCUGCUGUUUCUGCAAAAGAACACAUUUCUCCAACUUCCAGGCUCAUCAGAAUGCCAAACACAGGAAUUUCAAGCUUGCUGCUUGGGAAUAUCUCCGGCCACAUCCAGCUAACCCUAAAUCUAGCCUUGUUUCUAGCUUGGACACCAGAGCGGAUCAAAUAUACUUGGCCUUUAACCAUGAAAGGAGGAAACUGAGACCAAAGAGAGGCAUUUGGGACAUUAAAACGACACUUGCCGUUUCUGACCUGAACACUGGAACAAGGCAGGGAAAUCUGCUUUGACACAAAAUUUGAACCAAGUCAACCCAAAAUUCCCUCUUCGUCCUUUUUCUUGUGUGGGUGGGUGGGGGGGGGGGCUUGGUCUCCAAAAGUCAGUUUGUAAGUUACUUGUAGCAGAAAUAAACUACAUCGUAUAAAUCACAAGUCCUUGGACGUGGAGUAUAAAAAAUGGUAUUUACAG
rnacentral:lncRNA from 1 species